rnacentral:rRNA from 1 species
UACGUAGGGUGCAAGCGUUGUCCGGAAUUAUUGGGCGUAAAGAGCUCGUAGGCGGUCUGUCGCGUCGAAUGUGAAAACCCGGGACUCAACUCCGGGCCUGCAUUCGAUACGGGCAGACUAGAGUUCGGUAGGGGAGACUGGAAUUCCUGGUGUAGCGGUGAAAUGCGCAGAUAUCAGGAGGAACACCGAUGGCGAAGGCAGGUCUCUGGGCCGAUACUGACGCUGAGGAGCGAAAGCGUGGGGAGCGAACAGG